UAGUUAUAGUUUCUCUCUCCUGAACUCUACAGGUUUUACUGUGGUUCUGUUUAAGAUCCAACCCAUGAGGUUGUUUUAAUUGGUCGACUUUUCAAAUGUCAUUAAUAAAUGCUUGUUGUGAUCAUCCCUUGCUUUCCACCAGCACGUUUAACUUAGAUCAGCCAAAUUCUGAAAGACCACUGAACAUGGUAGUAUAGGUCAACCAAAGAAACAAGGUCUACAGUAGCAGAUAAGACAAAGUACUUGCUCACUUUCCUUAAAAAAGGAGGACAUCAAGCAGCAGCACACUUCACUAGCCAAAACCCAGGAGCAGCAACCAGUUACUUCUAAUCCUGAAGUCUGGGCAGAUGUGCUGUUAAUGGAGGAACUGCAGCCCUGGAGUCAAACCUCUGUCAUCCAAAAAAAAAAAACAACUUCAACUGCAGGAAAGGUUUGUUAUCUAAAGGAAUGGACAACAGCAUGGUAACGAGAGUCUGCAGGCAGCAAAGCAAGGCACAGGUUCUCUGAAAGUUUGGAGUCGAUUUUCUGCAAAUGUAUGAAUGACAUAUUUAACGUGGAGAAAUAUGCAGAUGUGCAUCAAUGUUGACAUUAAAUCGUUGAACCAAAAUUUGUUCUGCAACAGAACCACAAACCCAAAUGAAGCCUUAG